rnacentral:miRNA from 1 species
AACCUCAUUGGCUGGAAGGGAUUCCUUUUGGUUGAUGAGGCAUGACAUCCUCAUCAACGGAAGGAAUCCCUUCCGAUCAAUGAUGUAUAACAACCUCAUUGACCAGAAGGAAUUCCUUCCAAUUGAUGAGGAUGUUAAAUCUCAUUGAUCAGAAGGGAUUCCUUCCAAUCAAUGUCCGUU